UACAGAGGUCUCAAGCGUUGUUCGGAUUCAUUGGGCGUAAAGGGUGUGUAGGUGGCGCCGUAAGUCCGGGUGUGAAAUUUCGGAGCUUAACUCCGAAACUGCAUUCGAUACUGCGGUGCUUGAGGACUGGAGAGGAGACUGGAAUUCAUGGUGUAGCAGUGAAAUGCGUAGAGAUCAUGAGGAAGACCAGUGGCGAAGGCGGGUCUCUGGACAGUUCCUGACACUGAGACACGAAGGCCAGGGGAGCAAACGGG
rnacentral:rRNA from 1 species